rnacentral:rRNA from 1 species
CGGGGUGCAGCAGGCGCGAAAACUCUACAAUGCAGGCAACUGCGAUAGGGGAACAUCGAGUGAUCCUCAUAUUGGGGGUCUGUCCCACCGUCUAAAAAACGGUGGUUAGCAAGGGCCGGGCAAGACCGGUGCCAGCCGCCGCGGUAAUACCGGCGGCUCGAGUGGUGGCCGAUAUUAUUGAGUCUAAAGGGUCCGUAGCCGGCUUUGCAAGUCUCUCGGGAAAUCCAGCGGCUUAACCGUUGGUCGUCCGGGGGGUACUACAUUGCUUGGGACUGGGAGAGGUAGGAGGUACUCAGGGGGUAGGAGUGAAAUCCUGUAAUCCUCUGGGGACCACCGGUGGCGAAGGCGUCCUACCAGAACAGGUCCGACGGUGAGGGACGAAAGCUAGGGGCACGAACCGGAUUAGAUACCCGGGUAGUCCUAGCCGUAAACGAUGCUCGCUAGGUGUCACAACAGUCGUGAACUGUUGUGGUGCCGUAGGGAAGCCGUGAAGCGAGCCACUUGGGAAGUACGACCGCAAGGUUGAAACUUAAAGGAAUUGCCGGGGGAGCACAA